CGGGAGUUUGAAAAUUUAGCCUA
rnacentral:siRNA from 1 species